rnacentral:rRNA from 1 species
UAAGUUAUUAAGGGCAUUUGGUGGAUGCCUUGGUGCCAGAAGGCGAUGAAAGACGUGGUAGGCUGCGAUAAGCAGCGGGGAGGAGCCAAACAUCCUUUGAUCCGCUGAUGUCUGAAUGGGGAAACCCAGCCGGAGUCAUGUCCGGUUAUCCUUGAGCUGAAUACAUAGGCUCUUGGAGGCGAACCCGGGGAAGUGAAACAUCUCAGUACCCGGAGGAGAAGAAAUCAAACGAGACUCCCUCAGUAGCGGCGAGCGAACGGGGAUUAGCCCAAACCGGCUGGUUUCGACCAGUCGGGGUUGUAGGGCGGCCAACAUUGAUCUGUCAGUAAAUAGGGGAACGAGCUGGGAAGCUCGGCCAUAGUGGGUGAAAGCCCCGUACCUGAAGUUGAACGCAGCAUAGGCCGUACCUGAGUACCGCGGGACACGAGAAACCCCGUGGGAAUCUGGGAGGACCAUCUUCCAAGGCUAAGUACUCUCUGGCAACCGAUAGUGUACCAGUACCGUGAGGGAAAGGUGAAAAGAACCCCUGUUAGGGGAGUGAAAUAGAACCUGAAACCAUCUGCCUACAAGCUGUGGGAGCAUCCUUGAGAUGUGACCGCGUGCCUUUUGCAUAAUGAGUCAGCGAGUUACUUUACAGUGCAAGGUUAAGCGAAAGUGGAGCCGUAGCGAAAGCGAGUCUGAUAAGGGCGUCAAGUACUGUGGAGUAGACCCGAAACCGGGUGAUCUAUCUAUGAGCAGGUUGAAGCUCAGGUAAAACUGAGUGGAGGACCGAACCAGUAUCGGUUGAAAACGAUUUGGAUGACUUGUGGAUAGGGGUGAAAGGCCAAUCAAACCCGGUGAUAGCUGGUUCUCUCCGAAAUAUAUUGAGGUAUAGCCUCGAGGUAGUUUAGCGGGGGUAGAGCACUGACAGGGCUAGGGGGCUCACCAGCUUACCAAACCCUAUCAAACUCCGAAUACCGCAUAAAUGUUCCUCGGGAGUCAGACUGCGAGUGAGAAGGCCCGUAGUCGAGAGGGAAAGAGCCCAGACCGACAGCUAAGGUCUCCAAAUCCAUGCUCAGUGGAAAAGGCGGUGGAAUUUCACAGACAGCCAGGAGGUUGGCUUAGAAGCAGCCAUCCUUUAAAGAAAGCGUAAUAGCUCACUGGUCUAGAGAUUCUGCGCCGAAAAUGUAACGGGGCUAAGCAUGGUACCGAAGCUUCGGACUCGAUUUAUCGAGUGGUAGGAGAGCGUUCUCUACUGGUUGAAGGUGUGCCGUAAGGCUAGCUGGACGGUAGAGAAGUGAUUAUGCUGACAUGAGUAACGAUAAAACAGGUGAAAAACCUGUUCGCCGUAAGCCCAAGGUUUCCCGGGUAAAGGUAAUCUUCCCGGGGUUAGUCGGCCCCUAAGGUGAGGCAGAAAUGCGUAACCGAUGGGAAACGGGUUAAUAUUCCCGUACCUGUAUGAAUGUGCGAUGGAGGGACGGAGUAGGAUACGCAGGCCAGCUGUUGGAUUAGCUGGUGCAAGUGUGUAGGCUUGGAAGAUAGGCAAAUCCGUCUUCCUUAUGGCUGAGACACGACGCGGUGGCCGUAUGGCCGAAAGCUGCUGAGUCCACGCUUCCAAGAAAAGCUUCUAAGUUUAGUUCAUGCAGACCGUACCGCAAACCAACUCAGGUGGGCGGGAUGAGUAAUCCAAGGCGCACGAGAGAACUCUGGUUAAGGAACUCGGCAAAAUGACCCCGUAACUUCGGGAUAAGGGGUGCUCUUUGGUGUGUAUGUUUUACACGUAAAGCACCGAAGAGCCGCAGAGAAAUGGCGGUGGCGACUGUUUACUAAAAACAUAGGUCUCUGCUAAGUCGUAAGACGAUGUAUAGGGACUGACACCUGCCCGGUGCCGGAAGGUUAAGAGGAGAGGUCAGCGCAAGCGAAGCUUUGAAUCGAAGCCCCGGUAAACGGCGGCCGUAACUAUAACGGUCCUAAGGUAGCGAAAUUCCUUGUCGGGUAAGUUCCGACCUGCACGAAUGGUGUAACGAUCUCCGCACUGUCUCAACCAGAGACUCGGUGAAAUUGAAGUCGCGGUGAAAAUGCCGUGUACCCGCAGCAAGACGGAAAGACCCUGUGCACCUUUACUAUAGCUUGACAUUGGGUUUUGGAUUGGCAUGUGUAGGAUAGGUGGGAGGCUUUGAAGCGUGCACGCCAGUGUGUGUGGAGCCAACCUUGAAAUACCACCCUUGCCAAUCUAAGGCUCUAAUCCGAUGCCGUUAUCCGGCUCGGAGACAGUGUCUGGUGGGUAGUUUGACUGGGGCGGUCGCCUCCUAAAGAGUAACGGAGGCAUGCAAAGGUUCCCUCAGGCUGAUUGGAAACCAGCCGUUGAGUGCAAACGCAUAAGGGAGCUUGACUGUAAGACAGACAUGUCGAGCAGGGACGAAAGUCGGUGUUAGUGAUCCGGUGGUUCCGAGUGGAAGGGCCAUCGCUCAUUGGAUAAAAGGUACGCCGGGGAUAACAGGCUGAUCGCGCCCAAGAGUUCACAUCGACGGCGCGGUUUGGCACCUCGAUGUCGGCUCAUCACAUCCUGGGGCUGAAGCAGGUCCCAAGGGUACGGCUGUUCGCCGUUUAAAGUGGUACGCGAGCUGGGUUUAAAACGUCGUGAGACAGUUUGGUCCCUAUCUGCUGUGGGCGUAGGAGACUUGAAAGGGCCUGCCCCUAGUACGAGAGGACCGGGGUGGACGAACCUCUGGUGGACCUGUUGUCGUGCCAACGGCAUAGCAGGGUAGCUACGUUCGGAAGGGAUAAACGCUGAAAGCAUCUAAGCGUGAAGCCUGCCUUGAGAUAAGGUCUCCCUCUCGAAAGAGCUGAAGGACCCAGGUAGACCACCUGGUUGAUAGGCCGGAGGUGUAAGUACAGCGAUGUAUUCAGCUUACCGGUACUAAUAGUCCGUGCGCCUUAUUU